rnacentral:rRNA from 1 species
CCUACGGGGGGCAGCAGUAGGGAAUCUUUCACAAUGGGCGAAAGCCUGAUGGAGCAACGCCGCGUGCAGGAUGAAGGCCUUCGGGUUGUAAACUGCUUUUAUAAGCGAGAAAUAUGAUGGUAACUUAUGAAUAAGGAUCGGCUAACUACGUGCCAGCAGCCGCGGUAAUACGUAGGGGGCAAGCGUUAUCCGGAAUCACUGGGUGUAAAGGGAGCGUAGACGGCUGAGCAAGCCUGAAGUGAAAGGCGGGGGCCCAACCCCCGGACUGCUUUGGGAACUGUACGGCUGGAGUGCAG